rnacentral:tRNA from 1 species
ACUAAGAUGACAGAAAAAUGUAUAAGACUUAGGAUCUUAUUAUGGAGAAGCGCCCUCCUUUUAGUA